GUCCAGCUGACGAGGCCUAAAUAGGACUAAAUGCGCCUCCUGGAU
rnacentral:hammerhead_ribozyme from 1 species